rnacentral:rRNA from 1 species
CAUGAUAACCUAACGGAUCGCAUGGCCUUGCGCCGGCGACGGUUCAUUCAAAUUUCUGCCCUAUCAACUUUCGAUGGUAAGGUAUUGGCUUACCAUGGUUUCAACGGGUAACGGGGAAUUAGGGUUCGAUUCCGGAGAGGGAGCCUGAGAAACGGCUACCACAUCCAAGGAAGGCAGCAGGCGCGCAAAUUACCCAAUCCCGACACGGGGAGGUAGUGACAAUAAAUACUGAUAUAGGGCUCUUUUGGGUCUUGUAAUUGGAAUGAGUACAAUUUAAACCCCUUAACGAGGAACAAUUGGAGGGCAAGUCUGGUGCCAGCAGCCGCGGUAAUUCCAGCUCCAAUAGCGUAUAUUAAAGUUGUUGCAGUUAAAAAGCUCGUAGUUGAAACUUGGGUCUGGCUAGCGGGUCCGCCUCACCGCGUGCACUUGUCCGGCUGGACCUUUCCUUCUGGAGAACCUCAUGCCCUUCACUGGGUGUGUUGGGGAACCAGGACUUUUACUUUGAAAAAAUUAGAGUGUUCAAAGCAGGCCUUUGCUCGAAUACGUUAGCAUGGAAUAAUAGAAUAGGACGUGCGGUCCUAUUUUGUUGGUUUCUAGGAUCGCCGUAAUGAUUAAUAGGGAUAGUCGGGGGCAUCAGUAUUCAAUUGUCAGAGGUGAAAUUCUUGGAUUUAUUGAAGACUAACUACUGCGAAAGCAUUUGCCAAGGAUGUUUUCAUUAAUCAGUGAACGAAAGUUAGGGGAUCGAAGACGAUCAGAUACCGUCGUAGUCUUAACCGUAAACUAUGCCGACUAGGGAUCGGGCGAUGUUUCUAUCUUGACUCGCUCGGCACCUUACGAGAAAUC